AACUAGGAGACUCCACCAUUACAGGCAGCUACCAACAGGUAACUGGUAUCCUCUUAUAUGCUCUCUCUUUUAUCCUCUUUCUGACUCAUGACCUCCUUUUCUAGCUCUGGUCCUUUUCCUCUUUCCCUCUCUUGCGAUUGUUCUCCUGAAGGACCUGGUCUCAUCCCACAGUCAAGGUCCUCGGGUCUUCGGUGUCGAUAAAACCCCUCCCCAGCCCUCCUGCCCGCUGCCGUGGCGUUGCCCUGUUUACUGGCCCCCAGGCUGCAGCUUUGAAUCUUGCUGAACAACCCUUCAGGGUCCAGGGAGGGGCUGGGCUGGGGUCAGAUGAGCUGGACCCCACUGUGCCGGAGGGACUCCCAGUGACAUGUGGGUCUGCUCUGGGCACCCCCUGCCCAGAUAGGACUUUUCCUGCACGGGCGUCUCUGGACAUACACAGCUGUUCUCUUCCUCACAGGUGCCAGCAAGUCCUUCCUCUGCACCUGCAGAAGCAGCAACAGAAAAGACACAAGUGGAAGAGGAAGUGAAAACAAGGAAGCCCAAGAAGAAAACCAGGAAGUCCAGGAAGAAUGCCUAGUGGAAUAUCCUGAACUAUUGGGACAUUUUUAA
rnacentral:lncRNA from 1 species